rnacentral:rRNA from 1 species
AUUGAACGCUGGCGGCAUGCCUUACACAUGCAAGUCGAACGGUAACGGGCCUUCGGGUGCCGACGAGUAGCGAACGGGUGAGUAAUACAUCGGAACGUGCCCGAUCGUGGGGGAUAACGAGGCGAAAGCUUUGCUAAUACCGCAUACGAUCUACGGAUGAAAGCAGGGGACCGCAAGGCCUUGCGCGGACGGAGCGGCCGAUGGCAGAUUAGGUAGUUGGUGGGAUAAAAGCUUACCAAGCCGACGAUCUGUAGCUGGUCUGAGAGGAUGAUCAGCCACACUGGGACUGAGACACGGCCCAGACUCCUACGGGAGGCAGCAGUGGGGAAUUUUGGACAAUGGGCGCAAGCCUGAUCCAGCCAUGCCGCGUGCAGGAUGAAGGCCUUCGGGUUGUAAACUGCUUUUGUACGGAACGAAAAGCCUUCUUUUAAUACAGGAGGGUCAUGACGGUACCGUAAGAAUAAGCACCGGCUAACUACGUG